rnacentral:misc_RNA from 1 species
AACUUUUCUUCCUUAAAGAAGUUAUAUAUUCCUAUAAUUACAAUUCAGGAAAACCAAUAUGAAAAACUCUCCUGGAGGACACAGUGCGAGGCUGUCUCUUGGUCUGUGAUUCUCGGCUGGAGUAAGGAAGAAGUUCUUCCUUUGGAUGGUAUUAUUCAACCUCUAACCUUGGUGCAAUAGUGUGCUUGAAAAUGUGCUAUUCUUUCUUAGAAUUGUAUGUGGAGAUUUGCUGUGAAUUUAUAGCUAUGAUUCGUAUGACACGUGAUGAUAGCAUGGACUAGUGAUAUAAGGUGACAUUUGGG